GUCAUUUUUGAGCUGCCCAAGGUGGCGUUUUUAUUUGAAUUUAUUUUCGUGAUUCAGAGACGCUGAAUUCACGACAAUGGCGCGGUUUGGUAGUUAUUUGAGUUUGAGUGUGUAGGGAUUAUGGGUUGCAGGAUUGAAUAUCUAAUUGUAGAUUGAGUGCGAGAGCGCGCUAGCGAGCUGCGAGAGAGAACAACGAGCGAGAAAACAACGAGAUGCGCGCGGCCGGCGAAAGAGAGAAUGAAGAUUGUCAAAUCAGUUUUGUGGUUAAUUUCUGUGGAAUAAGACGUGUUGUU